GACCAACUUGUUGGAAAGAACCAUAUUUUCAAACACAGUAUUAUCUUAAUCAAAGCUUGGUGCUAUUAUGAGAGUCGACUUCUUGGUGGACACCAUGGCUUGUUAUCAACAUAUGCGGUAGAAAUAUUAGUCUUGUAUAUUAUCAAUCGUUUUCAUUCAUGAGUGCGUGGUCCUCUAGAGGUGCUAUACAUAUUUUUAGACUACUAUGGCUCAUUUGAUUGGGACCAUAACUAUGUUAGUAUAUGGGGUCCAAAACCCUUAUCAUCUCUUCCAGAAAUUGCUGAGACACCAGAAUGUGAUCAGGGUGAAUUCUUGCUCCAAAAAGAGUUUCUCAGAAAGUACAGGAAUAUGUGCACUUUUCCAUCAAGGGCAUCUGAGACUAUGACCCAUGAAUUUCCCGUUAAGUUCAUGAACAUCUUGGAUCCUCUAAGAAAUGACAACAACCUAGGCCGUAGUGUAAACAUAGGUAAUUUUGCCCACUAAAGUUAGUAGAUAUUUUGCACUUGUAACAUGGUAAAAAAAA